UCCGUUUGGGACGUUCUUUAUACCGUUGGAAAGCUCUUUUUGAGCUCUAUGUGAUUAUCUGUAUUUGAAAUGCCAUGAAUUUAUUUUAUGAAUGUGAAAUCAGGGGUUAACCCUAUUUGUGAAAAUCCCGGAUUGUGUGUGACUAGGAUUACCGGCACCUGGUCAGGAGCACCCGGGGAUUUGGAAUCUCUACUAUUGCGGGACAACAGGAAAGGGUAAGGCAUUAGCUGAUCAGCCAUGAGUUUCAGGAGCAGGGCGAAGAAUGUACAUGUUCAUGCCACUUCAGACCAAGCGGGUUAUGGGUCUAAUAGUGUUGACUUUUGUAUUCUGUUUUGCCGCUUAGGUCGGCUAGUAAGAAAGAACUUGUAAUAAGUUUGUAAAUAUUUUUGGGAUCCCAACUAUUUUGAAAAGUUUUAAAUAUAUUACAAGUUUAUUUUCA